AGCGGGAGUUUACUAUUCACCUCAGGACAUACGGUUUUUCAUCGACUUAUCUUUGAUUUAUUUGAAGGAAAAGACCCUGAUGGAUAAAAGAUGGAUAUUUUUUCCUGGAGAAGCUAAAACAAUGUAACUUUGAGGUUCUGAUACCAGCUUUUACAAAGUUAUUUACAGAGUUCACAAGACUUCUCUGUGUUAUUUCCUGACCAUGCCGAAAAGCUAUUUGAAACUUGGGCAUUGCAUUUUCCAGACAGAAUCCUGCACUUCCCAGCCAAGAACCAGGAGCAUCAACAAAUCACCUCCAGAACCCCAUGAUGAUAUUCCAACUCCUGUCUACAAAAGUGGGAAGAAAAUCUUAAGUCUAUGUUGGGACCAACAUGGUUGCAUUCUUCUGAGAGCCUGAUGUGACAAAACCAUUCCCAUUUGUCCUUGGAUUGGAAGAUGGCGAUCUCUGCCAUCAAGCCUUCGUUGUUUUUGACAGACAGUCACUCCAGCAAUACACCCUCCUUGAUGAUGUUGACAUGUUUUAAACUUUUUUUUUAUGUUUUGGACAUUAAUUUUACUAAGCAGUGCACAUCAGUGUGGGUGUUUUUGAAGACUGUUGUUUACAAACUCCCAAGAACGGAAUCCCUUUCUAUAAGAAGUCUGUGUAGUUAUUUGUCAUGCUAAGGUGAUAACUCAUGUUGAUCAUAUAUUGACUGUUUGUGCAACUUUGUGUUGAUCUUAUGUGUUACAUUAACCAUUUCUUAUUACACGGUUCUCUAAAAUGCUAGAUUCUGAUUGGCCAGUCAUGACAUUCUACUACUGCUCAAAACUAAAAACUCCAAUGCUGCAAAUCAUUUUGACAGGUACAGUUUUAUAUUACACAAAAAUUAAAUAUCAAUGUCUAUUAAUUACAUAUCCGACAUUAAAUUUAUAAAUGAUUAAAUGUGUUCGUGACAUUUGUCCUGAAGAAACUGUUGAGGUUUUUUUCUGUGAUGACAUGCUGCCAAUACAUUAUCCCUUACUUGUACAACUUUUUACUUGGUCUAAUUGUAAUGUUAACUGGGUAUCUGUCAUUUUAGAUUGUG